AGAGUUUGAUCCUGGCUCAGAACGAACGCUGGCGGCGUGGAUAAGACAUGCAAGUCGAACGGGAUAUUAUUUGUAGCAAUACAAAUGAUGUCUAGUGGCGUAAGGGUGCGUAACACGUGGGCAAUCUGCCGAGAAGUGGGGGAUAGCUCGCCGAAAGGCGAAUUAAUACCGCAUGUGGUUAGUGUUGGAUUCAACACGACACCAAAGCCGGGGCAACCUGGCGCUUCUUGAUGAGCCCGCGGCCUAUCAGCUAGUUGGUGAGGUAACGGCUCACCAAGGCUUUGACGGGUAGCUGGUCUGAGAGGACGACCAGCCACACUGGAACUGAGACACGGUCCAGACACCUACGGGUGGCAGCAGUCGAGAAUUUUUCUCAAUGGGGGAAACCCUGAAGGAGCGACGCCGCGUGGAGGAUGAAGGUCUUCGGAUUGUAAACUCCUGUCAUUUGGGAACAAUUGUUGGCGAUUAACUGUCGUCAACUUGAUAGUACCAGAAGAGGAAGAGACGGCUAACUCUGUGCCAGCAGCCGCGGUAAUACAGAGGUCUCAAGCGUUGUUCGGAUUCAUUGGGCGUAAAGGGUGCGUAGGCGGCGGGGUAAGUCGGAUGUGAAAUCCCGGGGCUCAACCCCGGAACUGCAUUCGAUACUGCCUUGCUCGAGUACUGGAGAGGAGACUGGAAUUUACGGUGUAGCAGUGAAAUGCGUAGAUAUCGUAAGGAAGACCAGUGGCGAAGGCGAGUCUCUGGACAGUUACUGACGCUGAGGCACGAAGGCCAGGGGAGCAAACGGGAUUAGAUACCCCAGUAGUCC
rnacentral:rRNA from 1 species